CAAUAGCGUAUAUUAAAGUUGUUGCAGUUAAAAAGCUCGUAGUUGGAUCUCGGGUGCAGGCUGGCGGUCCGCUUUGCGGCGGUUACUGCUCGUCCUGACCUACCUCCUGGUUUUCCCUUGGUGCUCUUGACUGAGUGCCUCGGGUGGCCAGAACGUUUACUUUGAAAAAAUUAGAGUGUUCAAAGCAGGCAUUUUGCCUGAAUAUUCGUGCAUGGAAUAAUGGAAUAGGACCUCGGUUCUAUUUUGUUGGUUUUCGGAACUUGAGGUAAUGAUUAAGAGGGACAGACGGGGGCAUUCGUAUUACGGUGUUAGAGGUGAAAUUCUUGGAUCGCCGUAAGACGAACUACUGCGAAAGCAUUUGCCAAGAAUGUUUUCAUUAAUCAAGAACGAAAGUCAGAGGUU
rnacentral:rRNA from 1 species